CCCCUCUCAGGAUCGCACUUGGAGACUUUCCAGUACACUACCAGUCUCGGCUAUGGGAGGGAGAGUCAAGCAGAAGCAUAACCACUCCAUUCCUAGCUUGGGCAGUGGUUAGUGAGUGGAAGACAAUCUGCUACAAAG